UACCAGCACCCCGAGUGGUCGGGACGAUUAUUGGGCCUAAAGCAUCCGUAGCCGGUUCUACAAGUCUUCCGUUAAAUCCACCUGCUUAACAGAUGGGCUGCGGAGGAUACUAUGGAGCUAGGAGGCGGGAGAGGCAAGCGGUACUUAGUGGGUAGGGGUAAAAUGCGUAGAUAUCGAGAGGAACACCUGCGGCGAAGGCGGGUUGCUGGGCUGACACUGACGCUGAUGCGCGAAAGCCAGGGGAGCGAACGGG
rnacentral:rRNA from 1 species